UUAGGGUUUGUGUCUUUGUGAGCGCCGCCCGAGCUCCAUUCCCUCAGUCCCUCUCCCCUCUCCUAGUCUUCCUCUCCUCCGGACCUCCGCCCUCUCCUCCCCCUUGCCGACUCCUUCCGCCUCCCCGUCGACGGCGACCGCAGCGGCUCGACGGGUUCCUAGGACGUUGCUUCCGCCUUCUUGGGGCUUUUCGUCGUCUCGCGACUUGCCGGCGGACGGUGACUGCUUUGUCUUCUCCACGGCGACGGCCUCCGUCUCCUGCCCUAUCCGUGCGUUCUCUCCCCUUCUCCGCUAGUAGUAUAGUCAUGCUAUCUCUGAUUUCCUUCCGCCAUCUCUUUCUGUCUCUGUUUCUUGAUCUUAGGGAUCUUGGAUCUCAAAGCGGCGGAGGACGUGAGGGCGCUCUUUCUCUUCUUCAAAGCGGCGACUACUGUGGAGUCCAGCAGCGCUGCAGCAGGUAUGCCGGUGGAGGGAAAUGGUUUGGUUUUUACUUUUUAUGGUUUGAUUCAUGGCGAAGGCUAGGGCUUCCAGAUUUUUUCCCCCACCCGAAUCGAAGCCGUCGAUGAUUUCCGGAGAGAAAAAAAUUUGGGGAUGGCGCCUAGAAUCCUAGAUCAGAGAUUUUGAGGGCUCCCGUUUCCAUUUUCUUUUAUUUUUUCCAAUAAAAAAAUUGUAAUCUGUUAAUUUCUCUCCUCCCCUUGUUCCUCUCCGUGUUUUCUUUUUACUUAAUUUCUGGUUAAAUUUAUUUUUUUAAAAAAAUUGCUUGACCGUGUUAAUAUUGGUGGAUUUAUUGUUGGCACUGUCCAUGGCUUAUAUGCUAACUAUCUAAUUUAACUAUUUAAGUCCAAUAGUUAAACGAGUCGGGUUGGGUUAAAUGGGUUAGCUGUUUGUUAAACGGGUUAAACGGGUCGGGUUACCCAUUUAAUAAACAUGUCAGGUUCAGGUUGUAAUUUUCUAACCUGUUUAAUAAACAGGUCGGGUUCAGGUUUAUGAUUUUUUGACCCGACUUGCAUCUGAUCCGACCUGUUUAUGUCCGACCCAACCCGAUUGCCACCCCUAAUAAGCAAUCAUUAGCUAAUUGUUUGGCACAAAGCUUUUCUCGCCAUCUCGGGAUGGGCGUGCCAGAGAGCUUGUUUGAUAAAUCCUCGUGGCAAGUGGUAAAAAGAUGCAUAGGCAUGCCACCGGCGUUAGAGCAACCGAAAAGAGGAUAAUUGAAGGAAGGAUAUCAAACUAGCGUUUGUCCAAGUGCUUGGACCUUCAAGGACUUUUGCCAUUGUCAUAUUGCCGUUCGAAAGAAAAUGGAGAGGGAUAGGAUGUAGCCUGAGCUACGGUAGGAAAAAUAUAAGUCAUUUUGGAAUAUCAAAGUCAUUUUGAGCGGCUUGUCAAUAGAGCUUGUAAUUGGCCAAAACGGUAACUUGUUGGAACUUUUAUUGAAGGACUUUGCUCAUACAUUCAUUGUGAGAUGAAGAUGUAUAAGCCCUACAUUAUAUUGGUAGCUAUCUCUUUUGCCCGAUUAUGAAAGGAAAGACUCAUUAAAAAUACCUCAUGCUUAAACAAGAGAGUAAAUAACAAGAAAUUCGUAAAUUUCAAGAAGAUACACUCAACAACAAAUAUGUUAAGUGGCUUACACAAGAGGAUCUCAUGGACAGAAUAAGCCAAGGCAAAUGUUAGCAUUGUGAUGAAAAAUGGCAUAGAGAAAAUUGCUAGAAAAAGAUAAUUUUUCUUAUCGAACCUGCACAUAUUGACACUUCACAAGAUGAAGAAGAUGAAGAUGAUCGCCAUGUACCACCUAGACAAAUAUAAUCUUGAGAACAAGAUCAUCUAGAAGUGAAAGGGAAUGAUAUGCUUCUUAUCUUAGGAUCCUAAUUUUAAUUUGAUUUAGCACAAGAAUUAGGAGGAGUCCAAGUUUAAUAAAGAUUGGCUACAUCAUAUUCCUAUUUUGCUUUUUCUUAUUCUUGUAGGACAAUUAACUCUGAAUCUAUAUAUACGUAGUGCUCUAGACAAGCAAUGAAUUUAAUAAAAAUAGUGUAAAGGCUAUUCGAGGUCCAAAACCUCUUGAAUUGAUCGAAUACUCUUUCUUCUACCUAUAUCUCUAUUUUUCUAUUUUCUUUUGCUCGAAAUUCUAUCAAUAGUAAGUGGGUUCCUAUCAAACAGAAUACAUACACAUAUAUAUACGACUUUUCAAAAACUAGUCUCGCAUUAUAAAAAUUUCAUCAUGACAUGAAGAUGAAAUAUCUUUUUUUCGUAUCCUAACAUCGAACUAGAAAGAGGAGACUAACUGAACAAAUUUAGUUCAAUGUCGAGAAGUUAUGUAAUUUAAAAACUAUCCUUACUGCAAGGAGAGGGGAAAACCUAUGAUUUAAACCCACCCCCCACCCCAACCUUCGGGGCGUCUCAUGGCCUGCUUUCACCUGUUCUCCGAACCUAAAGCGGUGAUUUUUCACGAAGCUUGUCGAAAGAAAUCAAACAAAUGGAUUAUCGCAUUUCAAUAGUUUAAUGGGUUAUCAUCUUCGAAUCAAAAUUUACAACAAUUCAAAAAACUAGAAUAGUAUAUUAGAGAGACAGAGAGAGAGAGACCUGCCGGUCGCCGGUCCGAGGUUACAGAGGUUGAGCUUUGAGGGUGAGUCGAGAGAGAUCUGCAGCCGCCCAACAGGAACCCUAGUCCUUAAAUCCAAGGAGGCCCUUGGCAAAGCAAAUGGGCCGAGUUAAUUUUGUCUAGGGCUAAUCCCGGCUCGAUUCCGUUUAACGUGAGCUAGGAAAGGGGAUUGUGGGACAAGAUCCCGCCCCCCAGCCCCACUGGCGUCUCUAGGUUACUAGGCUCGUCUUGGAAGUUUAUUUGGAUAAUUGGGCUGAAAAUCUUAUGAAAUUUAUGGACUAAGGCCUUGUUUGGAGGAGCUUUUGAAGGGCCAAAAAGCACUUUCUAAUUGUGAAACAAUUGAAGAUGAAUGGUAAGAAAAGGAUAUGCAUAGAUGUACCUACUCGUUGGAAUUCUACAUAUCUCAUGUUAAACGAUGUUAUACAAUUCAAGGAUGUAUUUAUGCGACUUGUGGCCCGGGAUUCUAAUAAACAUUUGAAAAGCUGGGUGUUCAACUGUUGUAAAUGGCAUCUCUUGUAAAAUUACCAUCCUUUACUUCAUCUAUUUUCUCAAAAGGCCAUAAAAACAGAUUUUAAUGCAUCUAAAAGCAGAAAUUAAAAUUUUUUUCCCUAAAACGUGAUUCAAAAGAUGCAUACAAACAUAGAAAAUAAAAAUACUUUUUCUUGCACAGAAGAGAGUCUAAUCCACGGCUAGGGUUCUUUGUUAGGGCAGAUUUUUAGGUUUAUAAAGGGACAAAGUAUGUAAUUAUUAUAUUUUAUUAUGGGUAUUUUGGUGAAAAAAAGCUUUCCGACAAAGCUCAAAAUAGCUUUUUCGAAAAGCUCCAAAUUGGAGCUUUUUUUAAAAAGCUGUUUUUAGCUUUCUGAAAAAGCUAAAACAGCUUUUCCAAAAUUUUUACCAAAUAUCUUUUUUUAAUCCAAAAGUGCUUUAGGAGGGCCAGAAAGUGCUUUUUGGCCCUUCAAAAGCUCCUCCAAACAAGGCCUUAGUCCAUAAAUUUCAUAAGAUUUUCAGCCCAAUUAUCCAAAUAAACUUCCAAGACGAGCCUAGUAACCUAGAGACGCCAGUGGGGCUGGGGGGCGGGAUCUUGUCCCACAAUCCCCUUUCCUAGCUCACGUUAAACGGAAUCGAGCCGGGAUUAGCCCUAGACAAAAUUAACUCGGCCCAUUUGCUUUGCCAAGGGCCUCCUUGGAUUUAAGGACUAGGGUUCCUGUUGGGCGGCUGCAGAUCUCUCUCGACUCACCCUCAAAGCUCAACCUCUGUAACCUCGGACCGGCGACCGGCAGGUCUCUCUCUCUCUGUCUCUCUAAUAUACUAUUCUAGUUUUUUGAAUUGUUGUAAAUUUUGAUUCGAAGAUGAUAACCCAUUAAACUAUUGAAAUGCGAUAAUCCAUUUGUUUGAUUUCUUUCGACAAGCUUCGUGAAAAAUCACCGCUUUAGGUUCGGAGAACAGGUGAAAGCAGGCCAUGAGACGCCCCGAAGGUUGGGGUGGGGGGUGGGUUUAAAUCAUAGGUUUUCCCCUCUCCUUGCAGUAAGGAUAGUUUUUAAAUUACAUAACUUCUCGACAUUGAACUAAAUUUGUUCAGUUAGUCUCCUCUUUCUAGUUCGAUGUUAGGAUACGAAAAAAAGAUAUUUCAUCUUCAUGUCAUGAUGAAAUUUUUAUAAUGCGAGACUAGUUUUUGAAAAGUCGUAUAUAUAUGUGUAUGUAUUCUGUUUGAUAGGAACCCACUUACUAUUGAUAGAAUUUCGAGCAAAAGAAAAUAGAAAAAUAGAGAUAUAGGUAGAAGAAAGAGUAUUCGAUCAAUUCAAGAGGUUUUGGACCUCGAAUAGCCUUUACACUAUUUUUAUUAAAUUCAUUGCUUGUCUAGAGCACUACGUAUAUAUAGAUUCAGAGUUAAUUGUCCUACAAGAAUAAGAAAAAGCAAAAUAGGAAUAUGAUGUAGCCAAUCUUUAUUAAACUUGGACUCCUCCUAAUUCUUGUGCUAAAUCAAAUUAAAAUUAGGAUCCUAAGAUAAGAAGCAUAUCAUUCCCUUUCACUUCUAGAUGAUCUUGUUCUCAAGAUUAUAUUUGUCUAGGUGGUACAUGGCGAUCAUCUUCAUCUUCUUCAUCUUGUGAAGUGUCAAUAUGUGCAGGUUCGAUAAGAAAAAUUAUCUUUUUCUAGCAAUUUUCUCUAUGCCAUUUUUCAUCACAAUGCUAACAUUUGCCUUGGCUUAUUCUGUCCAUGAGAUCCUCUUGUGUAAGCCACUUAACAUAUUUGUUGUUGAGUGUAUCUUCUUGAAAUUUACGAAUUUCUUGUUAUUUACUCUCUUGUUUAAGCAUGAGGUAUUUUUAAUGAGUCUUUCCUUUCAUAAUCGGGCAAAAGAGAUAGCUACCAAUAUAAUGUAGGGCUUAUACAUCUUCAUCUCACAAUGAAUGUAUGAGCAAAGUCCUUCAAUAAAAGUUCCAACAAGUUACCGUUUUGGCCAAUUACAAGCUCUAUUGACAAGCCGCUCAAAAUGACUUUGAUAUUCCAAAAUGACUUAAAUUUUUCCUACCGUAGCUCAGGCUACAUCCUAUCCCUCUCCAUUUUCUUUCGAACGGCAAUAUGAUAAUGGCAAAAGUCCUUAAAGGUCCAAGCACUUGGACAAACGCUAGUUUGAUAUCCUUCCUUCAAUUAUCCUCUUUUCGGUUGCUCUAACGCCGGUGGCAUGCCUAUGCAUCUUUUUACCACUUGCCACGAGGAUUUAUCAAACAAGCUCUCUGGCACGCCCAUCCCGAGAUGGCGAGAAAAGCUUUGUGCCAAACAGUUAGCUAAUGAUUGCUUAUUAGGGGUGACAAUCGGGUUGGGUCGGACAUAAACAGGUCCGAUCAUAUGCAAGUCGGGUCAAAAAAUCAUAAACCUGAACCCGACCUGUUUAUUAAACAGGUUAGAAAAUUACAACCUGAACCUGACCUGUUUAUUAAAUGGGUAACCUGACCCGUUUAACCCGUUUAACAAACAGCUAACCCGUUUAACCCAGCCCGACUCGUUUAACCUAACCCGACCCGUUUAACUAUUGGACUUAAAUAGUUAAAUUAGAUAGUUGGCGUAUAAGCCAUGGACAGUGCCAACAAUAAAUCCACCAAUAUUAACACGGUCAAGCAAUUUUUUAAAAAAAAUAAAUUUAACCAGAAAUUAAGUAAAAAGAAAACACGGAGAGGAACAAGGGAAGGAGAGAAAUUAACAGAUUACAAUUUUUUUAUUGGAAAAAAUAAAAGAAAAUGGAAACGGGAGCCCUCAAAAUCUCUGAUCUAGGAUUCUAGGCGCCAUCCCCAAAUUUUUUUCUCUCCGGAAAUCAUCGACGGCUUCGAUUCGGGUGGGGGAAAAAAUCUGGAAGCCCUAGCCUUCGCCAUGAAUCAAACCAUAAAAAGUAAAAACCAAACCAUUUCCCUCCACCGGCAUACCUGCUGCAGCGCUGCUGGACUCCACAGUAGUCGCCGCUUUGAAGAAGAGAAAGAGCGCCCUCACGUCCUCCGCCGCUUUGAGAUCCAAGAUCCCUAAGAUCAAGAAACAGAGACAGAAAGAGAUGGCGGAAGGAAAUCAGAGAUAGCAUGACUAUACUACUAGCGGAGAAGGGGAGAGAACGCACGGAUAGGGCAGGAGACGGAGGCCGUCGCCGUGGAGAAGACAAAGCAGUCACCGUCCGCCGGCAAGUCGCGAGACGACGAAAAGCCCCAAGAAGGCGGAAGCAACGUCCUAGGAACCCGUCGAGCCGCUGCGGUCGCCGUCGACGGGGAGGCGGAAGGAGUCGGCAAGGGGGAGGAGAGGGCGGAGGUCCGGAGGAGAGGAAGACUAGGAGAGGGGAGAGGGACUGAGGGAAUGGAGCUCGGGCGGCGCUCACAAAGACACAAACCCUAAGCGACGCCUUUUACGUCCAAUCAACCUCGCGGUGAAACUGUGAAACCGGACGGUGGACCUCGCGGUGAAAGCGGGCCGAAGCGGGGAGUUGGGCCGAGGCGGUGAAAGCGGGCCGAGGCAGGGAGUGAAAUUGAGUUUUCUCAUGACAGAAAGAUUAAUCAACAGAUACAAAUCCUUUUGACCUAACUACAGACCAUCUAACUGAUUUGCAACUCGGGCAACUUCAUUGUAUUUAAGUUGGUAGAUACAGAAAGUGAAAAUUACAGCAAACAUCAAAAUUGCCUAUAUGCAAAUGCAAUAAGGCUGAAGAAGGAAAAUUAUGAUUAAACCGUUUCUCAGAGGGGAUGUACCAUUGCUAUACAUUCUUAAAAUAGAAAAGAAACAUAGAUGAAGAUUAAAUUUUGAAGGCAUAACUAAGUGUUUUAAAAAUAUAUAAAGUAAUGCAUCAUUUUCAUAAUUAUUGUUUUAUGAGUUCACUUCACUUUGGAAACCAACUAGAGCACUAUACACCGCCAAGAUUUCUUUCCCAAUACUCGAAGUCGUCCCCAAAUGCUGGAGAGGCUUACAUUGUAUAAGCAAUAGGGGUGGUAAAAUAUGAUCCAACCCGCCAUAAACAGAUUUGGGUUUGGCUUAAACAGGUUCGGGUCGUAAACAGGUUGAUCCGUUUAACCUGUUUAUUAAUUGGGUCGGAUACAGAUUUUAAAUUUCUGACCCGUUUAAUCUGUAUAACCUGUUUAAUUGUUGGGCUAAUAUAUAAGGGCCAGCCAUACUCCCUGCCUCGGCCCGCUUUCACCGCCUCGGCCCAACUCCCCGCUUCGGCCCGCUUUCACCGCGAGGUCCACCGUCCGGUUUCACAGUUUCACCGCGAGGUUGAUUGGACGUAAAAGGCGUCGCUUAGGGUUUGUGUCUUUGUGAGCGCCGCCCGAGCUCCAUUCCCUCAGUCCCUCUCCCCUCUCCUAGUCUUCCUCUCCUCCGGACCUCCGCCCUCUCCUCCCCCUUGCCGACUCCUUCCGCCUCCCCGUCGACGGCGACCGCAGCGGCUCGACGGGUUCCUAGGACGUUGCUUCCGCCUUCUUGGGGCUUUUCGUCGUCUCGCGACUUGCCGGCGGACGGUGACUGCUUUGUCUUCUCCACGGCGACGGCCUCCGUCUCCUGCCCUAUCCGUGCGUUCUCUCCCCUUCUCCGCUAGUAGUAUAGUCAUGCUAUCUCUGAUUUCCUUCCGCCAUCUCUUUCUGUCUCUGUUUCUUGAUCUUAGGGAUCUUGGAUCUCAAAGCGGCGGAGGACGUGAGGGCGCUCUUUCUCUUCUUCAAAGCGGCGACUACUGUGGAGUCCAGCAGCGCUGCAGCAGGU
rnacentral:lncRNA from 1 species